UGGGGAAUCUUGGACAAUGGGGGCAACCCUGAUCCAGCCAUGCCGCGUGAGUGAUGAAGGCCUUAGGGUCGUAAAGCUCUUUCGCCUGUGAAGAUAAUGACGGUAGCAGGUAAAGAAGCCCCGGCUAACUCCGUGCCAGCAGCCGCGGUAAUACGGAGGGGGUUAGCGUUGUUCGGAAUUACUGGGCGUAAAGCGCACGUAGGCGGACCAGAAAGUUGGGGGUGAAAUCCCGGGGGCUCAACCCCGGAACUGCCUCCAAAACUAUUGGUCUAGAGUUCGAGAGAGGUGAGUGGAAUUCCAAGUGUAGAGGUGAAAUUCGUAGAUAUUUGGAGGAACACCAGUGGCGAAGGCGGCUACCUGGACCGAUACUGACGCUGAGGCGCGAAAGCGUGGGGAGCAAACAGGAUUAGAUACCCUGGUAGUCCACGCCGUAAAACGAUGUCUGCUAGUCGUUGGGGAGCAUAGCUCUUCGGUGACGCAGCUAACGCAUUAAGCAGACCGCCUGGGGGAGUACGGCCGCAAGGUU
rnacentral:rRNA from 1 species